CCUACGGGAGGUAGCAGUGGGGAAUAUUGGACAAUGGGGGCAACCCUGAUCCAGCCAUGCCGCGUGUGUGAAGAAGGCCCUCGGGUUGUAAAGCACUUUCAGUGAGGAAGAACGCCUGGUGGUUAAUACCCAUCAGGAAAGACAUCACUCACAGAAGAAGCACCGGCUAACUCCGUGCCAGCAGCCGCGGUAAUACGGAGGGUGCGAGCGUUAAUCGGAAUUACUGGGCGUAAAGCGCGCGUAGGUGGCUUGAUAAGCCGGUUGUGAAAGCCCCGGGCUCAACCUGGGAACGGCAUCCGGAACUGUCAAGCUAGAGUGCAGGAGAGGAAGGUAGAAUUCCCGGUGUAGCGGUGAAAUGCGUAGAGAUCGGGAGGAAUACCAGUGGCGAAGGCGGCCUUCUGGACUGACACUGACACUGAGGUGCGAAAGCGUGGGUAGCAAACAGGAUUAGAUACCCCGGUAGUC
rnacentral:rRNA from 1 species